UUACUCAUUUUCUAUUUAUUUGUUGGUUUGAUUACCUUUUUUCAGGGUGCUACCUAAGUCAAGGAAAAAGAAUGUGAAAUAGUAAGGAGAGGAAAAAUUUAUGAUUUUAAAGUUUCAGAGCUUCUACGGUUAAACUACACAACAUUCUUAUAUUUAUUUGUUCAGAAUUUUCUUUUAUAUGAAUGUUCUGUUGUGUUUCUGCCUGUUUGUUUUUCUGAUUUUUGUCCCUAAUUUUUGCAGGAUUCAUUGCUAAGGUAUUGGUUGUUACAAAUAUGCAGUAGUUGGAUGGAUCUGAAUAUGAUGAUAUUGGCUGUAAGUUUAAAAUACAUCUCUGUACUCGGUAGUUCUUAUUUCCUUAUUGGAUUUGCUAUUUACUAUAAUGAUAUAAGUCAAAUUAGUUAAUAAUAAUUGGGAACCUUUAUUUUUUAUACUGAUUUAUUUUCUUAUUAUCUAUAUAUGUUUUAUAUGAUGAUUAGCCAUUGUGAACACACUGCAGAUUUAAUUUCGUGGAAUGCAGUAAAAUAUUAGAUCCAAUUUUAUAUUUGCAGUUUCAAAGUUGUUUAGGUUUGCUGUUGGAAUAUCUUUUUGUGGACUUUUACAUGUAACAUGUAAUCAACCCAUCAACCCAGGGUAGUUGGCCUUAGUUUAAGGAUGAGAAUUUGAACUACGUUUUAAUUAAGUUUUAAGUUAAUAUUUGUUUUCUAUGUCCCAUUUGCUAUUUUGUAGUCACAACAUGUCUAUUUUCUUAAUUACCAACUUCAUGAUAACAAAACAAUCUCCAUCAAUAACACUUUUAUUUGGUGCUGGUUUUGAUGGACACAUAAGUGAGUUUUUAUCGUACAA
rnacentral:lncRNA from 1 species